UGUUACCUUUGCUACCUUGCGCGCGCCAUGUUGUUUCUCACCUCCAAGGCCUGAUUGCCGUCCCUGUCAGCAGACUAUGGACUGAAACCUCUACAAAUGCAUGAGGAACUUCACUGAGUGCUGACACUAUGCUCUUGGACUGGCAGCCUCUGGAACUGCAUAGGAAAGAUACUUCUGGAAUGAAGGAUUUUUUUUCUGAGAAAGAUCAGCCCUGCUUCAGAGGAAAAGUACCAGGGAUCAAAAUCAGGACCUUGUGCUUGCCAGACAGGCGCAACACCACAGAGCUACAUCCCUGGAUCUAAUCCUCUAAUCUUAAAAAUAAUUCUUCAAAGAAGAGAUUAUCAACUUAACCUUUUAGGUUGUUGUUCUAUAUCUUCAAAAUGGCUAAACUGCACUUAGAAUCCAUCCAAAUUUUAGAAAAUAAUGAGUCCUUACUUAUUUCCUGGAAGCUUAGUUUGUGUUUCUUGACCAUUAUGAAAAGUAGUUGCCAUAUCUACAAAUCUAGAAAUUUAUAUAACAUUGGUAAAUUUUUACUAAAAUAUAUGAGUUUACUACCACAUAAAUAAUUAUAACUUUAAAAUUUACAUACAUUUGGGGUCCAAGUACACUUAAAUUGUAAGUAUGUCACAAUUAUGAUUUUGGAUCUCCUAAAUGAAUUCUGAUAUGUAAAUGUGUACUGACUUUUAGUUAUGAGUCUGAGAAAUAUAAAUGAGUGUUUGUGUGUUUUUUGGUUUAUUUGUUUGAUUGAUUGUUUUUUCCUAUUUGUGUGUUUACUAGCAUGGAAUCAACUGUCCUCAUUCUCAAAUUUACCUCUGUUUUAGUAUGAAAAGAGUAGAUCAAAGAAUCUGAAGUAUGUAACAGGCAUGAUUCUGCUGAGAAGGCUUCUGUAGGAUCAUAGUUAAUUGCUUUAAACUUAGUCUAAACAAAACUCAAGUAAAUAAAGAGCAAAUUGGCCAGUUUAAAAUAGAUUAAUUUGAACACAGAAAGGAUCUAUUCAUUUUUUCUCUUAUUUCUUCUCCUGAGUGGUUAAGUGGAAAACAAUCUGCAGAAUCCCUCCCCGAUCCGUUCUAACUCUGACAUUUACAUUUAUUUGUGCCUUAAAGAUUAAC
rnacentral:lncRNA from 1 species